rnacentral:rRNA from 1 species
CCUACGGGAGGCAGCAGUGAGGAAUAUUGGUCAAUGGUCGCGAGCCUGAACCAGCCAAGUCGCGUGAAGGAUGACUGCCCUACGGGUUGUAAACUUCUUUUAUCAAGGAAUAAAGUGAGGCACGUGUGCCUUUUUGUAUGUACUUUAUGAAUAAGGAUCGGCUAACUCCGUGCCAGCAGCCGCGGUAAUACGGAGGAUCCGAGCGUUAUCCGGAUUUAUUGGGUUUAAAGGGAGCGUAGGUGGGUUGUUAAGUCAGUGGUGAAAGUUUGCGGCUCAACCGUGAAAUUGCAGUUGAUACUGGCAGUCUUGAGUACAGUUGAGGUAGGCGGAAUGCGUGGUGUAGCGGUGAAAUGCAUGGAUAUCACGAAGAACUCCGAUUGCGAAGGCAGCUUGCCGAA